GACAUUAUUGUUAUUAAAUGUAUAUAGUCUAACUAAAGCAGGACCAUAAACAGAAACACAAUCCGGUUGUUGCUUCUUCCGCUUCUUCUUCUUCUACCAAAACAAAUGGCUCGGUAGCUGCUGCUGCUGCUGCUGCUCUGAUGACGUCAG